GACGAACGCUGGCGGCGUGCCUAAUACAUGCAAGUAGAACGCAGUUGCGAACGGGUGAGUAACGCGUAGGUAAACUGCCUCAUAGCGGGGGAUAACUUUUGGAAACGAUAGCCAAUACCGCAUACUGUGAGCUGGACCUGCGUUGUAUUAGCUAGUUGGUGAGGUAAAGGGUCACCAGGGCGACGAUACAUAGCCGAGCUGCGAGGGUGAUCCGUCAACAUGGGAAUGAGGCAAGGCCCAGGCCCCUACUGGAGGCCGCAGUAGGGAAACUUCGGAAAUGGACGGAAGUCUGACCGAGCAACGGCGGGGUAGUGAAGGAGGUUUUCGGAGCGUAAAGCUCUGUUGUUAGGGAAGCGGUAACUAACCAGAAAGGGCCGGCUAACUACGUGCCAGCAGCCGCGGUAAUUC
rnacentral:rRNA from 1 species